GCGCUUAAGGUCGCCGUCCUUUGGACGGUGAUCGGUGUAGCGUAUAGAGUUCUCGUUCGACGGUUGGUGACUGGUCUAAGUUCUGCUGGAAAGCAAUGGCAUAGACGGUUUUACCCCGGUAUGGCCGGUUGCCGCUGUCGAAUGGUUGCUCUUGGAGUCGGGUUGUUUGGUAACGCAGCCCAAAGCGGGUGGUAAACUUCACCUAAGGCUAAAUACGACCGCGAGACCGAUAGCAUACAAGUACCGUGAGGGAAAGUUGAAAAGUACUUUGAAAAGAGAGUGCAAAAGAACGUGAAACCGGUGUAAUGGAAGCAUAUGGAGUUGUCGUAUCUGGUGUGUGUUCAGCUGUCGGGCGUGUCGAUUGCUGGGUUUGGCAUUCCGCAAGGUUGUCGGCUCGGUAUUGUCGGUGCGUUCGGCGGUGCAUUCACGCACGGAGUGCGCCGAGUCGCGUGGCGCUGUCGAUCGAAGCGCGUUAAGAGGACUUGCCUUCGGGCGAGAACCCUUGGCGUGUGUAGGUGGGUUGGUGCUGCGUGAUUUCGUGGAGGCACGGGCUUACGCGCCGUCAGGCGGCGAUUGUAGUGGUUUGCGUUGGACACAUGUGUACUGCGCUUAUGAUUGCGGUCGUCGUCGGGCGGUGCUCUGUGCUCUUCUCGGUGUAUAGACAAUGACCCAUUUGACCCGUCUUGAAACACGGACCAAGGAGUUUAUGGUAUACGCGAGUCAUUGGGCUUCCAAACCCAUAGGCGCAAUGAAAGUGAGAUCUUAUUGGUUUUAAUGUGAUCGUUGGUUGUUUCGACGGCCGGCGAGCAACAUUGCCCCGUUUCGAGGACUUGUCCUGUUGCGGAGGUUGAGCGUAUGCUAUGAGACCCGAAAGAUGGUGAACUAUGCCUGAGCAGGAUGAAGCCAGAGGAAACUCUGGUGGAAGUCCGAAGCGGUUCUGACGUGCAAAUCGAUCGUC
rnacentral:rRNA from 1 species